AAGGACAAGCGCGAGAGUAAGAACUAUUCAAGGAGUCACAGUACCUUAGCAAAAUUUUGCUAUCAGGUUGAGUUGUGAUGGGCGAUGAAGUGUUGCUGAGUGGAGUUUUUGUUGAACUUAAAGUAGGCUCAGAAAGGAUACAUGUCUUCAUACAUGUAUCUCAGUUAUGCAUUCCGCUGUAAACACUGAUUAUUUCAGUUACACCUUCCGUUGCAAACUCUGAUAAUGUUUUAGCCAAGCCCAUAACGAUGCCUUUUUCCUUUUAAGGAAUAUAACGCGUAUACAAGUUCUUUGA